rnacentral:rRNA from 1 species
GUCGAGCGGUAGAGAGAAGCUUGCUUCUCUUGAGAGCGGCGGACCGGUGAGUAAAGCCUAGGAAUCUGCCUGGUAGUGGGGGAUAACGUUCGGAAACGGACGCUAAUACCGCAUACGUCCUACGGGAGAAAGCAGGGGACCUUCGGGCCUUGCGCUAUCAGAUGAGCCUAGGUCGGAUUAGCUAGUUGGUGAGGUAAUGGCUCACCAAGGCGACGAUCCGUAACUGGUCUGAGAGGAUGAUCAGUCACACUGGAACUGAGACACGGUCCAGACUCCUACGGGAGGCAGCAGUGGGGAAUAUUGGACAAUGGGCGAAAGCCUGAUCCAGCCAUGCCGCGUGUGUGAAGAAGGUCUUCGGAUUGUAAAGCACUUUAAGUUGGGAGGAAGGGCAUUAACCUAAUACGUUAGUGUUUUGACGUUACCGACAGAAUAAGCACCGGCUAACUCUGUGCCAGCAGCCGCGGUAAUACAGAGGGUGCAAGCGUUAAUCGGAAUUACUGGGCGUAAAGCGCGCGUAGGUGGUUUGUUAAGUUGGAUGUGAAAUCCCCGGGCUCAACCUGGGAACUGCAUUCAAAACUGACUGACUAGAGUAUGGUAGAGGGUGGUGGAAUUUCCUGUGUAGCGGUGAAAUGCGUAGAUAUAGGAAGGAACACCAGUG